rnacentral:RNase_P_RNA from 1 species
AGUCGAUUAGGCGGCCGCUGCCAACUUAUUUGGUAGAGGAAAGUCCGGGCUCCAGAGAUCAGAGUGCCAGGUAACGCCUGGGGGGUGUGAGCCCACGGAAAGUGCAACAGAAAGGAAACCGCCUGAGCUCGUCUCAGGUAAGGGUGAAAAGGUGCGGUAAGAGCGCACCGCGCGGCUGGCAACAGACGUGGCGAUGGUAAACCCCACUCGGAGCAAGACCAAAUAGGGAUCCUUAUGCCGUGAUCUCCGGCGGAUCCGGGUAGGUCGCUUCAGGCGGAUGGCGACAUCCGUCGCAGAUGAAUGGUCGCCCUCGACAGAACCCGGCUUAUCGAUCGACUCAU